AAUUUUGGACAAUGGGCGCAAGCCUGACCCAGCCCUGCCGCGUGCGUGCAGAAUGCCUUCGCGUUGUAAAGCUCUUUCGGCCGGAAAGAAAGCGCCCAGGCUAAUACGCUGCGCGCAUGUCGAUACCCACAUCAGAAUCCCCGGCCAACUACGCGCCAGCAUCCGCGGUAAUACGUAGGGUGCGAGCGUUCAUCGGAAUUAAUGGGCGUAAAGCGUGCGCAGGCGGUUGAUUAAGACAGGCGUGAAAUCCCCGGGCUUAACCUGGGAACUGCGCUUGUGACUGGUCAGCUAGAGUACGGCAGAGGGGGGUGGAAUGCCACGUGUAGCAGUGAAAUGCGUAGAGAUGUGGAGGAACACCGAUGGCGAAGGCAGCCCCCUGGGCCGAUACUGACGCUCAUGCACGAAAGCGUGGGUAGCAAACAGG
rnacentral:rRNA from 1 species